rnacentral:tRNA from 1 species
GGGUGGAUGGCCGAGCGGUCAAUGGCAGCAGACUGUAAAUCUGCCCUCUUCGGAGUUCGAAGGUUCGAAUCCUUCUCCGCCCA